GAAAGAAAAGUUAGGAAAAUCAUUUGAAAACUCAAGCAAAGCAUAGAUACACAACAGAUCUAAAGAAAUCGGAGAAAAAACCUCGAAGGGCUAGGGUUUCAGAAGAACCCUAGAAAUGAGAAAGGCUUUGAAAGGCCAUCGAUUUGAGCAGGGGAGGUUAGAAACAUGCUCAUAUGACCUUGGUACGCCGGAGCAAGGUCGGGGAUGACCCUGGAACCUUGAAUCGACAGAGGUCUGGGUUCGACCCUUUAUAGUCAGGCCUCAAAUCUUCAAAGAUCAGGCAUGGAAGGUCAAGAGAAUGUGCGUAUAAAAAUCCCAUGGCCUGAGAAACCACGGAUUUCAGUGGGUUUUAAGGUAGAAGAUGGCGAGAGGCGAGAGGAAGCUAGGUUGAGAGAAGGUUCGAGAGUGUUUGAGAGGGUGGGG
rnacentral:lncRNA from 1 species